CCGACCUUCUUCCUCAGCGCCGCACGUUGUCGCGCUUCCUCCUGCGAUUCUUCCUCCGCUCCCGCACCCCACCAUCUUCCCCCGAUUCUUCUCUAACCGCACCUGGGUUUCUUCCUCUGCCACUCCCCCACGCGCGCCUAAGGGUUCCUCGCUGGUCUGCUUCGUCGUCCCCAUCGAUGGCGGCGGAAGGAAAUCAUUCUAGAGUACAGGAAGCUCAAAGGAUACGACAUGUUCUAUUGUAUCCAGAACAAAUUCGUUGUUCAGCAGUUUGAAAAAGGAAAGAAAAGGAAAUUUUAGUGGUUGCAGAGAGAACAUGGAGAUGAUCUUUUUUUAUCUGAAUG